rnacentral:rRNA from 1 species
GAUGAACGCUGGCGGCGUGCCUAAUACAUGCAAGUCGAGCGAACGGACGAGAAGCUUGCUUCUCUGAUGUUAGCGGCGGACGGGUGAGUAACACGUGGAUCACCUACCUAUCAGACUGGGAUCACUUCGGGACACCGGAGCUAAUACCGGAUGAUAUUUUGAACCGCAUGGUUCAAAAGUGAAAGACGGUCUUGCUGUCACUUCUAGAUGGUUCCGCGCUGCAUUAGCUAGUUGGUAAGGUAACGGCUUACCAAGGCAACGAUGCAUAGCCGACCUGAGAGGGUGAUCGGCCACACUGGAACUGAGACACGGUCCAGACGCCUACGGGAGGCAGCAGUAGGGAAUCUUCCGCAAUGGGCGAAAGCCUGACGGAGCAACGCCGCGUGAGUGAUGAAGGUCUUCGGAUCGUAAAACUCUGUUAUGAGGGAAGAACAGAUGUGUAAGUAACUGUGCACAUCGUGACGGUACCUAAUCAGAAAGCCACGGCUAACUACGUG